rnacentral:lncRNA from 1 species
AUGGACUUCCCUCCCAAAGUCUCGGCUUUGCCCCUUUCCACGGGGAAGUUUAAGGGCUGGGCAACUCUCGAUCCCACAUCUCCCACCCGAGAUGAUAUUCCAACGCUCCGGAUUGAACCCGACACACGGGGCAAACCGGAGAGACCUCGUGCCAAUCCGAAUCAGAGCAGCAACAGAGAGAUGAGGUGGAGUCGGGGAAAAACCGCCCCUGGAGGGUGUCAAAGGGGGGGAGAUCUGGGUCGCAGGGUUCCAAGACGACAACAAACAGGACGCCUGUUUGAUCGCGGUCACUUUCUUCCAAGGGCUCCCAAAGUCCGGCUCAGCAAGCGAAAUCCCCAGCUCUUUGGCAAAAGAUGGAAAACAUAUUCAGACAGCUUUCAAAGGAAUUAGACCAGAAGGAGAACUGUGAAAAUCCAGAUGCUGUUGGAUUCGAAUCACCAUCAACACCUGGCAACUUGCCCAAUCAUCCAGGGUUGAUGGCAUCUAGGGUCCAACACUGAGCUGUCAACAUGUUUCUCAUCCUUGGAUUACAAAAAUAUAUGAAGAUCAAACCUAACUGCAGGUAAUAGUGAAAUUUUCUGAUUUUGCCUCUUCAGAUAUGUUGGACUUCAGCCUUCAGAUCAACUUACCAUGUAAACAACAACAACAACAACAACAACAACAACAACAACAAUAAUAAUAAUAAUAAACGUUAUUUAUAUUCCGUUCUGUCUCACCGAGGGGACUCAGAGUGGAUUACAGGUACAUAUAUGGCAGACAUUCAAUGCCAUUAUACAUAAACAGAGGCAGGCUUCCCUCUUUUCAUUUCUGACAUCCAGCUGUGCUUGAAUCGGCCAUGGGGGGGGGGGGGGGGGUUGCUGUUGUUUCAUUUUCCACGCCAAAGAGCCAUGUCAUCCUUGGACCCCUUUCCUGGUCGGGUUUUUGCCAACAUGUUUUUCAAGGCACCUUUUACCUCCCUGCCAAAGUGGUACCCUCUUUCCCCCAAAAUGAGACAUACCCAUAAAAAAGCCAUAGUAGGAUUUCUAAGCAUUUGCACAAUAUAAGCCAUACCCUGAAAAUAAGACAUAGUGAUAGGCAUGGCUGUGCAGCAUACAAGGUCAGCUCCCCCUGUCAGGUUCCAGUUGUUCCUUGUGUGCUGCAAGCUGAGGCAUGGAGGGAGACAUAGGAAGUGAAAGUAAAAGUCUCAGUUGAAGUGAAGAACAGUAUGCUCGGUUUUGGGUAUUGUGUGUCCUCAGGGGGAAGAAGUAACGCUUUGGAGGCCUUUUACUCAUCACUGUGGGUCUCUCCCCCCAGCACCAACCAGCAAAAGUAUAUGGGUCUCUCCCACCCCCCACAAACACCAGUAAAGCUGCUGCUCCCCAGCACUGACCAAAAGCAGUCUGUGGGUCUAUCUCAUGCCAUUCAAACACCAGGAGAUGGGGGAUAGCUUCAGCAAGCAGUCUACUACUGAACCAAGAGAGAGCAUCCCAUAAAUGCAGAUUGUUGCACCAUACUUAAUAAAAAAUAAGACAUCCCCUGAAAAUAAGCCAUAGUAUGUCUUGAGGAAAAAUAAAUAUCAAACAAUGUCUUAUUUCUGGGAAAACAUGGUACCUAUUUAUCUACUUACAUUGCUGUUUUCAAACUGCUAGGAGAGCAGAAGCUGGGCUGACACUGGGAGCUCACCCUAACCCGGGCUUGAACUGUCAACCUUUCGGUUGGCAGGAUCAUCUAUAGCAAGAGGUUUAAACAACUGUGCUAGCCCAGUUGGGUGAGCUCCUGGAUGUGGAAGCCUCAAAAAUCUGAGGAACAAAAGGUUGAGAACCACAAAGGUACCAAAACUGAAAUACUAACUUUUUAGAUGUUCAGGAUUAAGAAUAAUAAGAUAGCAUCAUAGUGUUGGAAGAGACAACAAGGAUAAUCCAAACCAACUCCCUGCCAUGCAGGCAAAUACAUUGAAAGCACCCCCAACAGACGACCAUCCAUCCUCCACAUUAAAACUUCCAUAGGAGACUCCACCAUGCCCUGAGGCAGCAUAUUCCACAGUCUAACAUCUCCUAUCAUCAGGAAGUUCUUCUUAAUGUUUAGGUAGAAUAUCUUUUUCUGCAAUUUGAAUUUCUGAGUAAGCAGGUAUGCCAAAGACCAAUAGUCUAUUUCAGAUGGCAUCUGGAUGGCUUUCAUCAACAAGUCAUAAAAAGCGGCAACUUCAAAAUAAACACAGGAGUAUCCCACUACAUGGUCCAAGAGAUUGUUGAUAAGCUGGGUGAGCCAACUAGCACUUCCAUGUUUCUAUCCUCUGACCUGUCAUACCAAUAGUCCAGUAAUGUAGGGCUCCCUAUUUUAGCUAGUACCUGGAAAUAACCAAUUGCAAAUAACUACUUGGUUUAUAUUUAUCAAAAUAUAUAUCUCGUCUUCUCUAAAAGGACCACAGGGUGACACACAUUAAAAUCAGUUUAAUCACAGAGUUCUAGAGCUGUCACAUGUUCCAUUGUGUGUUGGUGACAACAAGAUGGUUGGCAGGAAAGUGGGCCAAUCAUUUGUAGAAUGCAAGUCAGAAGUGAACUCAAAACCACUUUGUAGGUACCUCAGAGAAACAUGAGAGUAAAGAUUACUUUUCUAAGAUUCUCAGCUGUAAUGGUAUCCCACUGUUUCUUUGGGCUUAAAAGUGUAGCUAUAAGGGCUUACUUUUAAAGGCAACUUUCCAAACUCUUGUUUGAGCUUGACAAUGUCCAAGAAUGGAAACUAAUCCACAGGUACUCAUACAUAAUCCUGAAAUAUCAGCACUUAUUCUGCAGU